UAUUAUUAUUAUAGAACUCUGAUUCAAAUAAUUUGAACACCUUUCAUUUAUUUACAUAACAAAUAUUCAUUGGUAUUUAUUAUCUACUAGGUACCAGGCAUUCUUUUUAAGUACCAAGGACUCAGAGAUGAAUAAGGCGGUUAGUGUCUCUGAUCUCAGGAAGCCAACUGUGAUAAACAAGCAAAAAUAAGUGAGAUAAUUUCAAAUAUUAAGUGCUCUAAGGAAAAUAAAACACAGUGCAUCUGGGAAUUACUGAUUAUUGUGGAGCUUACAUUUACAUAGGUGGAGGGAACAGCAGGUGCAACGCACUGAGACUUUGAUUAUGGCUUUUUUCAAGGUCACCCAACUAGUGCAUGGCUCUGGGUUUUAAUCCGUUUCUGCAAUAAUAAGUGACAGUGGCAUGCAUGGAAAGUUUUGCUUAUUCAAGGUGAAGCCACAAGAGUUAUCAGAGCAUGUUAUUUGCAGAUAUUUACAGACUGGAAAGGUGCCAGGACACCUGGACUGCAAGGUCCACCCCCUGUGCUUGGAACACUAGGGACUGCAGAGGAAGUAUUUGUUUGAAUCAUUUCUGGAAAUGGGAUUUCUUUGAUGUUUUCUCAUUCUGUUUGCCUGACGACCACAUCAGAAUCAGACUUUUUAAAGGCCUCUCUUGCCUAAUGAACUAGAUGCUUUGGAAAAAUCUGCCAAAUAAUAGAAAUAUUUCUCUUUCAGCUUAACUGCUGACCCAGACUAGUCAGAGAAAUGGCCUUUCAAAGGAUAAAUCUAUGAAAUUCCAUUUCUGGGGCCAAGUGCCUUGAUUUGCAUUGAGCAUUGUUGUAAAUGUCAACCGUCCGGCUCCCACUGUCAGCUUGAAUGGCCGGCAGUGUUUAUCCUCCCAAGAAAAUUGCAGUAAACUUAUUCAGCGCAGGGUUGGGGGCUGUGAGGCCGUACUGUUUCUUGUUAACCUCAACCAUACCCCUCUUAUCUGUCCUCCUUCCUUUUUCUUCUGUGAGUCACUUCCAAAUAUUCCAAAGUUAUGAUGAAAUGCUGACUUCUUCGCUUAGCUGGGUUGUUAGUUUUCCUGGGCUACUCUGCUGAGCUGGCAUUCCCAUGACUGAUCCUAUGGAAGGGGCUGGGAGGGUAGGAGAAUGUGAGCUGGUGGGAGAACGUGAGCCAGUUGAGGGGACUGAACAAAGGAACAAUAUGUGGCAGUUUCCCUCCCUGCAAAUGGAAGUAGAUGUGAAGAGCCCAGGGCACAAAUUAUUCCAAAUCAGAAAUACCAGAAUGUAUGCGCUGUCUUGUUUACCACUGUUUCCCCAAGACCUAGAACAUAGUGGGUGUUGAAUAAAUACUUAAUGAAUGACCGUGAUGGCAAGUUAUCUACUAGCUUAACCAUAGUCUGCAUGGUCUCCUUGGCCCCUUUCUCACAAUGACUGCUGGGCUUUUGCCAGUUUGCUCUUGAGGAAGGGGUUGAGACUAGAAAGGGAGGGAAGCCUGCUCCUAUUGCUGGGCUUGAUUGGCUGCAGCUAUCGUGACUCUUUUUUCCAGCUGCAGAGCAAUUUGUGAUAAAUGGUACAGAAACAUGUCCCUGGCAGCCAACUGGCCCCUCACCAGUUCUUUGCAAAUACCAGCCAGAGACGGCUCUGGUCUUGUGCCAGGCUAGAGAGACGGCAAGAGCAAACCUUGCAGGUUCUUAAUCCUCACAGGGGGCUCAUCAUACCUCUAUAGCUGUUGUCUGGGGUCUGGAUCUUGGUUGAUGAAUCCCUUGUGAUUUUCCUUUGGAGAAUCUAUGAAGGAAAUGUCAUUCUCCCACUUCCCUCUAGCUGUACAUGUCUGCUUUAACAGAGAAUCGCUUUGCUUUCCUUCCUUUUCUACUCUCAUCUCUUUGACUCAGAAUGUUCUCUCCCACCGGUUACUUCUUGCUCCUAGAGGUAUAAAAGACAAGUUUGGUUUUACAGAAACAUCAGGAGGAUGAAUUAGGUCACUUGAGGGAUCUAGACUAAUAAAUUGGAGUGUCUUAAAAUCCACCUUACCUGUCCUUCCAUCAAGCUGCAUUAUACUGAACCGGUCUAGGAAAGAUAAUGGAUAUAAAUGACAUGUUUAGCCCAAUGACUGAGGGGUUAUGUUACCACGGUUCAUGGCUUUUGAGAAUCAGACACUUUCACACUUUAAUAUUUCAGAAUUUAAGAGGUAUCUUUCUUAUAAUGCACAUCACACAUUAAUUGGCAGUGUUAUUUUUCUUUUUUGGUGGUAGAUAAAAUAGUGGUGUUUCUUACAAUUGAUGGAGUACUAGAUUUCAUUAAACAAGGCAGUUAAUUUUGGCCAGAAUUGUCUCAGGUUUUUUUAUAAGACUUUUUAAAAGAGAAGUUUUAGGUUUAUAACAAAUUAAGAGGGAGGUAUAGAGAUUUCCCAUAUACUCCCUGCCUCCAUACAUGCAUAGCCUCCCCCAUUGUCAACAUCACUCACCAUUUUUUUUUUUAACCAAGGAUGAACCUACAUUGAUACAUCAUAAUCACUCAAAGUCCAUGUUUACCUUAGGGUUCACGCUUGGCUUUGUACAUUCUUUGGGUCUGGACAAAUGUAUAAUGACUAUAUCCAUUAUUAUAACAAUAUACAGAAUAUUUUUUACUGCCUUAUUCAUCUCCCCCUCCUGGGGCAACCAGUGAUCUUUUUAUUGUCUUCAUCGUUAUACCUUUUCCAGAAUAUCAUAUAGUUGGAAUCAUAGAGUAUAUAGCCAUUUUGAAUUGGUUUCUUCCACUUAGUAGUAUGCAUUUAAAUUUCCUCCAUGUCUUUUUGUGGCUUGAUAGCUCAUUUUGUUUUAGCACUGAAUAAAAUCCUCUUGUCUGGAUGUACUGCCGUUUGUUUAUCCAUUCACCUACUGAAGGACUUCUUGGUUGUUUUCACAUUUUGGCAAUUAUGAAUAAAGCUGCCAUAAACAUCCACGUGCAGGUUUUUACGUGGACAUGAUUUUCAGCUCCUUUGGGUAAAUAUCAGCAAGUGUGAUUACUGUAUCCAAUGGUAAGAGUAUGUUGUUUUUUAAGAAACCACCAAACUGUCUUCUAAAGAAGUGUUACCAUUUUGCAUUCUUACCAGCAAUCAAUGAGAGUUCCUGUUGUUCCAGACUCGCCAGUGUUUGAUGUUGUCAGUGUUCCAGAUUUUGGCCAUUCUAAUAGAUGUGUCAUUCAGUAAAGCCUGGGUGUGUGACAGACAACAAGGAACUGUUUGAGGACAUCCCAGUGGAUCGCAGAGCUGAAAGAAUGGAAUAACGGCUCGUGGAAGAUUUUCACCCUUGUCAAAGAGGCAGCAGAGCCUGGGACCACAGGUCUCUCAGCCACAGCCAGUGUGGACUCAUAUUUGACAACCUGAGGGGCCUCCCCGCCUCGGAGCUAGGUGAAGUCUCUUACCUACUUACCAGACAUUGGCCAUGAGACAUGUUCACUCUGGCAGGAGUUUCCAAGAUUACCAAAGGCAUCCUCUUGGUUAUGGAGAUUUGAAAAGCUAAGAAAAGUCCUUUUUUCAACCCAACCUAUUUAGUUCCGGAAAAUAUCAAGGAGGUAUGAACAAGUGGCAAGUUCUCAAUAUCUGCCUGCAGACAACAUCCAGAGAGAGGCUGAGCUAUACCAGGUGAGCACAUGAGCCUUUAGAGUCCUAUGAACCACACAAUGUUUAAUCCACCAUUUAGGGAACAAGGCGGCAAUAACCUGCUGUGAGUCCAAAGAAGAAAAUAAGUUUCCUUUCUGAAAAGGAAUGAAGUGCUAUUGGUUCUUGGCUCUCCUACCUUCAAAAGACCUUGAAGUACCCUGUGGUUUUUUUCUUGAGAGCAGCCUCAGUUACUACCUAAAAAAACUAUGCACCUCUUUCAAUGCCUCAGACACAGACUUGAAGGAAAGAGUGAAAUCACCAGCUUAGCAGUCUGUGGAACUUAGAUGAGCAAUUUUCCAAUGAAGGAAGAUAAAAGAGAGAAGGAACAGGGAAAGCAGAGUGGAAUUGGGGUCGAUAUUAAUUUUAUUUGGGUGAGGAUUCAUUUGAUUAAUGAUACCAAUCCUUGAAAUUCAGGGACAAGCCUCUUAACUUUUCUUCUACAACUAUAAACAUAGUUGUUCUUUGCCAUUUUGUGUGUGGUCACGGUAUAGUACAGGGCAGUGAUUCCUAGUGGGUAGUGGCAGGGGAUGAUUUGACCCCAUCCCCUUCGCAGGGAGACAUUAAGCAGUGUCUGGAGACAUUUUUGGUCGUCACACCCAGGGUUUGGGCUGGGGUGGUAGUAUUGGCAUCUAGUGGGUGGAGGCCAAGGAUGUUACUAAACAUCCUACCAUGCAUACGAGGGCCUCCCACAACAGAAAUGAUCCCAUCUAAAAUGUCAAUAGUGCCAAGAUUGAGUAGCUCUGGUAUAAGAGCUAAAAUCUUAACCUAUGAGUUCUGAGUUCGCUUCAUAACUGGUGACCUUGUACACAUUCUUUAAUCUCUGUUCCACAAUUCCCCUUCUGUAAAAUGGGAUAAUAAUAGUAUUUUACUUAUAUAAUUUUUAUGAUGAUUAAAUGAGUUAAUAUCUAUAAAGUUCUCAGAACAGUGCCCGAUGUGUAGUCAUUACCGUGUUAAAUUAGAUAUUAUUUUUGUGCAAAAUAGCACAAGAUAUAUUUAAGAACUGUCAGGAUAAUGGAAUCUUUGCGAAGUAUGUUUUGUGGUGAAUUUCACUAAAAACUACCUUAAAAAGUAAUGGUCAACAUAGGCUGAUUAAUUUGAUAACCAUAAGAUCCUGGAAUCUAAGUGAUAAUAAACCGUGUGACACUGUCAUUUUUCUCUGCUAGUUUCCUCCAGCUGAUUUAGUGCUAUGAUGUUGAAACGGAAAAGAUGUCAGUGCACAUUGUAUAUGCUUAGGUGGUGUUUGAGUGUACUUAGUAAUUGCGUGUUCAAGAUUCCUAAAAGUUCAAAGAUUUGUGAAUUCCCUAAGUGGCUGUAGAGCUGUAAGAUGGGGGACAAGGAAAGUCUGAUGAACGUACAGUUGAAAAUCAACCAUGCACGUGACAGGGCUCUUGGUGUCUGUAGGAAGUGGAGGCACUUGCCCUUUAAGAGAACAAAGAGAAAACUAAAAGGCCAGAGUCUGAUGAAGUAGCUUGAAAACUAAAGGUGGUGAUAUUUGUGGGUGUAGUCGACACAUUACCAUAUGAUUUAUUUUCCCCUUAAUUGUAGAGCUGAAGAUGCCAGAAAGGGAACAUUUAAGUACAUAUGACAAAUUGUAAGUGUUUAGCUGGGAAAAGAGGCCUGAACUGGAUGAACUGACCUGUCUGAAUACCGUGCCCAGUAUUCUAUUUAAUUUCGUGGUUUUUGAUUUGCAUGAGGGUCUGAAAAUAUCUCUGUUAAGCUUGGUUAAGUGGUCCUUGACCUUGAGACCCUUAUUUUAUGCUCUAGAUAAUUUCAACAGCCAGGAGACCCACUCUGGCUUUUCCCUGCCCUAGAUCCUUUCUCUCAGAAUGAAAGUUUUAAUUAAGAAGAUGUUUCACAUUAUGAGCUGUAGGCAAUUUUAAAGCCUCAGGAGAUCACCUAUGAAGUCACAGUUUCAGGACAGCCUGUGAUAAGUGCCCAUCUAAUUUAAAUAUUUGUGAACAUAGCAGAAGAUAUUUACCGUAUUAUUGAGAUUCCCCCAAAACUUGGAAAAAAAUGUGUCUUUAUGUUUUAUACUCACUUUUGAGCUAAAAGGGCUAAAGUUCACCGGCUUCUGGUAUUAGUCAAAGGAAGGAGGCCAGCCACAGAGAACAAGUUAAGAGUAGUAAUUGCCCUUUUUGAAUACCUGGUAUAAACACAGUCAGGCACUGUGCAAGGAACAUAUUCAUAAAACUCUGCCCAUUUUGUAGACAGUAAAACCAAGAUUCAAAGAAAUCAGGUUAACUUGCUCAAGAUCACAGAGCUGGUGCCAAGGUUGGGGUUCAGGUCUGUCUCUCUUGAGUGACUUUUUUGCUUUAUCCAGUUAUCUCUUGAGCACUUAACACAUGAAAUAUAUCUGUCAGGCACUACUAUCAUCCUAGGAGUCUUUAAAUGAUGAGGGGAUUUGAGAUUGGCCAUGUCUGGGGCUGGGAAUCUGUCCCUUUGGAAUUAACCUAAAACUUAUGUCCUCUUCUGAUAUUUUAAAAUAGGAGGAUCCCAAAUUUUGAGCCAUUCUCAUUACUGCCUUGUCACUCACCAUAAUGAAGAUAUUAUCAGAGGAACACAAAAAAUAUCUUAGUCACAGAAAAACAAUGUAGAUUCUACCUCCAUAAUAGAUUCAGAAUCUAUUUCUUCUCAUCUCCUAUCCUACCAGCCUUAUUUAUGUUUCCACCAUAUUAUAAGGAGGAUUGCAACAGCUUUUCCCAACUGGUUUUCCUGUUCCUCUUCUCACUCCCCUACUGACACUCUCCUCCCAGUAGCUGGAGUGAUCCAGGUAAAUCUGCUUGUGCCACUCUUUGCUCAACAUCCUCCAAUGGCGCCAUCGUGUAUUCAGAAUAAAAUCCAAACAACUUUGUCCCGCCUUCACAUUCUAUUGUUCACUCUUCCUACCUCCUCAGCUCUGUUCUGCCUCAGGCUCUUUGUACUUAUCAUGCUUUAUAAUGCCUGAAAUAUUCUUCCCACAGUUAGUCUUCUCUCACCAGUUCAAGUGUCAAUAUUGUGGAGAUGGUUGGUCAGGGGGAAAGUCAUCUCCACAAUAUUGACAUUUGAAGUGAAUGGUGAGAGAAGCCCAACCCUCACUUGCCUGUUGGGCAUAUAACUCUCCUUCAUGACAUCUUCUUUUGUGUUCUUUAGAGCAUUUAUCACCAACUCACAUUGUUUCCUUUAUAUGUGCAUUUAUCAUCUAUCUCCACCUUCCAAGAAGUUUGCCCUCAUUACUGCUGCAUCUUCAGGGUCUAGAAACUGCCUGAUUCAUAAUAAGCACUUAAUAAAUAUUCAUUAAUAUUGACAAGGAUGCUGUGUUGGGAGUCAUGGGAACUGUGUUUAAUCCUGGCUCCUCUACUGGUUUAUUAUAUAGUAUGCUGGACAAGCCAAACUUCUUGGGUCUCUGUUUCUUCCUGUAUAAAUUGGAUCAGAUGACCCCUAUGACCCCAAUCUAGUCCUAAAAUAUUAAUUCUGAUAAAACCCUGACUCACUCUGCAGGUCAUGAAUAGAGUUCCCUGACUCUUCUUAUUUUAGGCCCCAAAGGCAUUAAUAUUUGAUGAGUGAGAAAUGCUACAAGCCUAGAUCAUCUUUAGUGAUAAGGAGAGUUUGUUCAAUGAUGUUAAUAAUGAACUUUUUGGUACCUUGAAAGUGAGUGUUGUACAUAGGAAAAGCGAAUUCAAAUUUAAUUCUAAUUCAUAAAAAUUAAUAUUCAAUGUAAUAGAGUUACAAAUAAAAAAGUCCAGUCUAGGGGCACCUGGAUGGCUUAGUUGGUUGAGCAUCUGACUCAGCUCAGGACAUGUUCUUGUGGUUUGUGAGUUCAAGCCCCACGUAGGGCUCUCUGGUGUCAGCACAGAGACCUCUUUGGAUCUUCUGUUCCCUUCUCUCUCUGCCCGUCCCCUGCUUGUGCCUUCUCUCUUUCUCUCUAAAAUAAAUAUUUUAAAACCCCAGUCCUGUUGGCUUUUAAUUAAUUCUGAAAAUCUUAGUCUAGUCAAUUUUAGCAACUACUUUGAUGGAGUCAAAUAAUAUUGAGUAACAUUUGGUCCCAUUAAAAUUCAGACAUUUAAAUACCCUUAAAUAUUUUAAAUUACAUUCUAUAGAUUUGAACUCUUCUAAAAGAUGUUAACUGGCUUUCAAAGAUUUCUAUGUACUUAAGUACUUCUUACAAAUCUAAGAAGUACAUUUAUAAAUAUGGCAGUCUUGAAUCUACCUAAAGGUUCUAAUACUCUAUGUAAACUCAGUACGAUUUCAACUUAAAUUCACAGAUCUAAAUUUCUCAGAUGUAUAUUUUAAAUUGGGAUAAACAGGCUGACCUGUUAUUCUAGUAGGAUAAAUUUUAUUAAACAUUGCCAAAAAAUUUCCAAAUAUCACAGCUUUCUUCACAGAAUAGUAUUCUUUUGUUUUGAUGCACAAUGUUAUACUUAAUUUUAAACCCCCCUAAGACUAAAAUAUACUUACCAGCACUAAGGAAAUAAUUACAUCAUGCUCCUCCUUCCCCAAUUUGAGAUGUAGGUGUGCAUAUUUGUGUGAGUGUUAGUUUAAGCUAAAUUCUAGGGAUAAUCAGCAGCACUGAUCAGGUAUUUACACUCAAGUGCUGUCAGUGGUUGGAAAGAUACACACAUGUGGUCAGAAUGAUCCAGUUCCACAGGCAGCCUCUGCAAAGCUUCAGCCAUCUUUAUCUCCAAUCAACAGCAGACAUUUUGUCUAAUUCACAUAAUAGAAUUAUUUUGAAGUAGCUACUUUUUAGCAUAAUAGAUGACAGAAAUAUGCUCUUAUAUGCGGAAUUGGACUUAUUAAAGGUAUGUGGUUUGGCUAAAACAUUUGGGACAGACUUUACCUUCCGUAAAGAGCAUAUGAAUCUUACUAACCUUUUAUCUUUAUCUCUAAGUGGAUCUGUGUGUGUGGUAGAAUUUGGUUUGAGUCUUACCUUCUUAAUAACAUAGUGGUGAGGUUGUGGGUGAGUAGCUGAUUGCUACUGUUAUUUACCAAAAAGGACUAAUGGUUGUUCCUAACCAGUUUGACUUAAGCCAGUUGGAAACAUUUUUCCAUGUAAUUUUGCUAUUAGCUUAUAGUUGCAUAAUGAGAAGAGAUUCUUUUUGGCAACCCUGAUGGAAACUUAUUACAGUUGCUAUUUUGGUGAAUUCAUAACUUCAGGAGUGGUGGUGGUUUCAUAGUCAGGAUCUUUAAUUUUGUACUUAGGGAAAUCGAUAAUGUUCACAUUGUUUGAUUAGAAGUUGUACUUCCUUUGCUUUUAACUAUGUAAAUGCAUUUUGCAUGGAUUUUUAAGACCUUUGAACGUGAUGGAAUCUUGUGCUUUAUAUUUUGCAUUCACAGAAUCACAUGACUAUCCUAAUUUUGGAUUAAAUUUUAGCUCUCUCUCUCCCUCUCUCUUUCUCUCUUUUGGUAACUGUUCAAGUCAGAACACCCAAAAGUCGUUCUGAUAAUGGAAAUUGGGAGAAAGCACUCACAAAUUGGGUGGAAAUCCUUAACAAAGCUGCCUCUGGAAAUACUUUUAUUCCAAGUGAUGGAAGGUCAAAGGUGUGUUAUUCUCCAGAGAAAUGUUCAGAAGUGUAGAUUCCCUUAUAGGACCCCAGGCACAUGCCCAAAUGUCAACUGGACCAGCUAUCUUCAUUUGAAAAACAGGGAACAUGUGGAAAGGAGGGGUAAGGAGAGGAAUGUUGAGUAGGAAAAUAGGGGAGAAAAUUGCUUUCACUAGUAUUUUUCUACUAUCAAAAUUCUAAACAAAAUGUAUGCAGCCAAGAAUGGGGGAGGAGAGCUGUCAAAUGUUAAGUCAUUUCAAAUUUUUUGCUAUCAAGGAUCCCUUUAAAAAAAAGUUUCUCUAUUGAUCCACAUUUUGAUAGAUUUUUCUCUACUAAGCAAAUGACAUUUAUUACAUAAUAACUUGUUUCCCCACUUUUAUUAAUUAAAGACCUGCAUCUGAUCAUUAGAAAUUCUGAUUAGCAUGUGCUAACUUGACUUGAUCAUGUCAGCUAAAGCAGAGAAUUGGGAUGCAGCUUGGGGAUAUUUUAGUUAACCUUAUUACAAGAGUUCUCUCAAGAUACCUAGUGUUUGAAAAGAAAUACAGAUUUCCAAGCUUCAGACCAAACACUCUGAAAUCUAAUCUCUUGGGGUGGGAUGUAGGAAUCUUCAUUUUUAAGCACUAUCCUCAUUCAUCAAAUGGUUCAGAUCUCAUGUUUCUUGAACUGUAUUUUGAGAAGCACUGCGCUGUAAAUUUUGAAAUAUUGACAAUAGCUCCCAGACCUCCCUCUAAACUGACUUUACAGAUCUGGUGACCAGUCCAGGAACCUGUGGAAGGGUGGAUAAUUGCAAACUCAAUUUAGAUGUUCAGCCUUAGGCACUUCUUUGGUUGAAGCUCAAGAAGCUAUGACUAAGCUGACCUUUUGUCAUAUCUCUUUUCCUCCCUGUUUAUUUAAGUUACCAUCUUAACUGGCCCUUGAAGUCAAAAGUGCUUUUGUUCUCUGCAUGAAUGGUUUGAUUCACAUCACACGAAUAUAGCUUCAAAGAAAGAAAAGUCUCUUACCUUCAGAUAAUUUCUCCCUCCCCCUGCAAAUGCCACAAGCCAGCUAAAUUGGGAUUUUAAAGGUUUUCUGUUUUAAGUAUUUCAGAGUCUUCAGAUUACUGUUCUUUAUUUCCUCCUUGGAAGAAAUAAGACCAAAAGAAGUAACACCCACUUAGAGCAUUUUUAACAAAGGUGAUUUCUUCCACAGAAUAUUGUAUUGAAGGUGGUGAUUCACACAAUGGAAGCUUAAAAUGCACCGCUUCCUGGGGCCUCCUCCAGACUGUGUGAUUCAGGAGGUGUGGGAGGGGGCCUGGGAACUUGUAUUUUGAUGCAAUGAUUAGGCAGGUCUCUGAAUCAACACUUUAAUGAAUGAACCCCAACAGAUCACUUGCCUAAGGUUGAAUGACCAAGAAGUGACAAAAUCUGACCAGGAUGACUGUGUUUUCUUUAUCAUCUCAUGCUGCUGGAAAUCAAAAGGGCAGGAAAGAAUCAAGGCAGUUUGAGCUACUUGUUGUUCUUUGUUGAACUAAAGAUUCCUUUAUUCACCUGUCCCCCUCGCCCCCCAUUCAGUUCAUGUUUCAGCUGCACUGAAUUUCUCACGGUACCUGAUCACACGUGUUGGUUUUUGUCUUCCUGCUUUUGUGCAUGUUGUUCUUUCAGCCUAGAAUUCUUGUGCCCAACUUUUUCUCCCUGCUGAAUUCAGGACUCCAUUAAAAUAUCACUUCCUUGUGAAGCCUUCCUAAUACCUCAGGCUGAAUAGGUCCUUCCCUUCUCUGUACCUACUUAGAUUUUUGUACAUGCUAGUAUUAGGGUGCUGAGAGACUGGUGUAUAUUCCACUGCCUGUAAUUUACUUAGUAUCAUUCCUCAUAGGCAGUGUGAUAUGUACAUGAGUAAUUUAGUAAUGAAGUCUACAUCCUCAGGCCAGUUAGAUGAAUUAUCCUAUCAGGCACCACCUCAAGAAGUGGCAACAAUCAGAUUUGAAUAAUGGAUACUUUCAUUUUAAGAGCCUGAUUCUUUGGGGAACACGGAGCAAAAAUUACAAAUACUAGCUUUCAAUGAAAUGCAUUUUAAAUAAAAAUAUAAAUACAUUAAAUUUAAUGCUGAUACAUAUGCUCUAUGGAGUUAUAUGCCCCCCCCCCCAAAAAAAACCUCACUGUGCAAUUGAUUUAUCACCCAUUUCAUACAGUCUGAACAAAGGCGAUUUUAAGAAUAGCUGCUGAGAAUGCAUGAUUCGCUCAUUUGCAAAUAGUGGUGUUCAUUUCUCAACACUGUCAAGAAAAUUCAUCUAAAGAAAUUAUAAGCCCAAAGAGUCCUACAUUGGCCAUUCGUCAUUAGAAGCAUUCCCCACAAUAAAUAGGCAUUACAGGUUGUUAAGCAUCUCCAGGAACAUUGCUCAUUGAAAUUUGUUGGAAAGAUGAUUGAACGCUACUUAAGUAGAACUUUACGUGCGAUAAGUAGUACAUUUGCAGACUGCCGAGAAAAUUGAUGAAAAGGAUAAUGUUCUGUUUUGGACUCUAAACAAAAGGCAAUCAAUUAGUAGGAUGAGUUUGAAUAAUGUGAAAGAAACAGUGCCUAGAAACUCUCCUGAAAGAUUGGACCUCAGGCUGAAAUAACUGCUUUUGCAUUAAAAAGAUCUAUAGCUUGGCAUAAACACAGCACGGAAGGGUAUUAUUAACAGAAUCCAUUUCUGGACCUACAUCAUGACCCAGAGUUGAUUCCCCAUGAGCCCACUUUCUUUUCUGGGCCUUGCCUUUAUUAUGGGCUGCAUUUCAACUUCCUUCUAAGCUCACGGCCACACUACACUCUCUGGUCAGCCCGUAAAGUGUCCUCCCCAGCAAAUAUUUUAAGUGAUUUAAAGAGGGAUCAUUAAUGAAGCUUAGAGAAUGUUACUGAUUUUCGGGACUAGCCCUCCAAUGCUACAGUGUGGAGUUCAGUAAGACUCUGUGUUUUGUUGGUAAUGGGGACGAGUGAAUUUUGAUGAUGGUUCCUUUACAUAGAGGUCACCAGUUCUUUUCCUGUAAAGGUCCAAGUAGUAAAUAUUUUAGUAUUUGUGGGAUAUGUGGUGUCUGUCAUAAUGCAACUCUGCCUGAAACAGCCUGAUAGCAGCCACAGACAACAUGUAAACAAAUGAGCACGAGUGUGUUCCAAUAAAACUGUGUUUACAAAAAUGGACAGCUGGGGCCUGCUCUACAUCGAGGGACCAAAAUCAUGGCUGAACAAGUCCCAACACAGAACAGUGUUAGAUCAUGCAUACAUAUUUAUUUUAUUGUAUACAUUUUUUAAUUUGAGAGAGAGAGAAAGACGGAGAGAGCAAGUGGGGGGAGAGGGGUAAAGGGAGAGAGAGGAU